GACGAACGCUGGCGGCGUGCUUAACACAUGCCAGUCGAACGGAAAGGCCCUGCUUUUGUGGGGUGCUCGAGUGGCGAACGGGUGAGUAACACGUGAGUAACCUGCCCUUGACUUUGGGAUAACUUCAGGAAACUGGGGCUAAUACCGGAUAGGAGCUCCUGCUGCAUGGUGGGGGUUGGAAAGUUUCGGCGGUUGGGGAUGGACUCGCGGCUUAUCAGCUUGUUGGUGGGGUAGUGGCUUACCAAGGCUUUGAGGGGUAGCCGGCCUGAGAGGGUGACCGGCCACAUUGGGACUGAGAUACGGCCCAGACUCCUACGGGAGGCAGCAGUGGGGAAUAUUGCUCAAUGGGCGGAAGCCUGAUGCAGCAACGCCGCGUGCGGGAUGACGGCCUUCGGGUUGUAAACCGCUUUCGCCUGUGACGAAGCGUGAGUGACGGUAAUGGGUAAAGAAGCACCGGCUAACUACGUG
rnacentral:rRNA from 1 species